GGUUUAUUUGAUAAAACUCAACUCAACCAGAAUCUAACUCUAACACCCAUAACCAAAUGAAAAGUUUAACUCGAUUGUCUUGAAACCAUACUAGUUGUAAAUGUUUUUUUUUUACCAUUUACAACUAGCAUGGCUUCAAAUCAUAAAAAAUGUUACUGAAAAUAUGGUUAGAAAACCAAGAAUACAAAACUAUAAAUUUUUAACCAGAUUAGUUAUUAGUGGCUUCAAAACCGUAACAGUAAGAAAUGUUCUUUACCGUAAACUUUUUUGUUAAUUGAAUAGACAUGCUGGUUAUUUUACAGUAAUUUUAAAAUGAAAAUUCUGAAAGUCAAUUUAGAAGACAAUAAGCUAUGGAUUUUAAAUGUUUAAAAAAUUAUUUGAUGAACACUAAGUUUGUAAUGAAAAUAAAGUGUUGAACUGUAAAUUUCAAAAAUUUGAAAUUUGCUUAAUCAAUCGCUGUCGCACUGUUGUUGUAGAAUAGUGAUUUACUGUAUUCUUUAAAAAUAAUUUAAAUUAAUGCUUGAUAAAUUUAGAUAUUGAUUUUAAACUGAAUUAUUUGCAUACUAUAAAUAAAUGUCAUUUUUUAUGCAUACACUUUUAGAUUGAUUAACGUCUAACUUGGGAAGGAAAUUAAAUGAAAAGAGAUUUCUAAAUAUAUAACAGGAAUGACAAUCUAAUUGGUGUCAGUAAUUACCAUUGAUAUAUAAUUAAAAGCAUUCUUGUUUAUUAUCAGUGGGAAAAAAGGCAAUUUAAUUCAAAUUGUUAUUACAAUUUAAUUCAUAUUGUUUAAAAAAUUAAAGACCUGUUAAAUAUUAAAAUGUAACUGUGAAACUUUAUUUCUUGCAUGUAGAUCUUCAAAUAUUACUUGAUCAUCUUCUGACAAAUCUUGGCAGCUUAGAUCUACAAGCUUUACUUAAACAACUGCUUAAAGAUCUGAAUCCAACAGUUGGUGAUGCUCUAAACAGUAAGCAUGUUUAAUUUAAAAUUAUAACUAAUAUAUAAUAUUGAAUGUCUUAAAGCUUAAGUAAGACA